rnacentral:lncRNA from 1 species
AUCAGCUAAAAUCCAUCAAAAAUAAGUUAUAUUAAAAGAUUUAAUUUCAUUAUUUAUCAAGUAAAUAAACCAAUAUUAGUUUAGAGCGAAUAAAUCCAAAAGAUAAUACCAAAUCCAUAUUCAUAAUUCAUUAGUAGUUGAUUACAAAUCCAUAAUAAUCCUAUAAAUUUAAUUUUAACUGUAAAUUUUUAUACUCACUGGCAU